AGAGUUUGAUCAUGGCUCAGAAUCAACGCUGGCGGCGUGCCUAACACAUGCAAGUCGAACGAGAAAGCGGGAGCAAUCUCGCAAGUACAGUGGCGUACGGGUGAGUAACACGUGGAUCAUCUGCCCUGGAGUGGGGAAUAACACCGGGAAACCGGUGCUAAUACCGCAUACGAUCAUGAUGUCUGCGGACGUUGUGAUGAAAGGAGCAAUUCGCUCCAGGAGGAGCCCGCGGCUGAUUAGCUAGUUGGUGAGGUAACGGCUCACCAAGGCGACGAUCAGUAUCCGGUCUGAGAGGACGGUCGGACACACUGGAACUGAGACACGGUCCAGACUCCUACGGGAGGCAGCAGUGGGGAAUUUUUGGCAAUGGGGGAAACCCUGACCAAGCAACGCCGCGUGGGUGAUGAAGUCCCUUGGGACGUAAAACCCUUUCGACGGGGAAGAAACCGCAAGGUUGACGGUACCCGUAGAAGAAGCCCCGGCUAACUCCGUGCCAGCAGCCGCGGUAAUACGGGGGGGGCAAGCGUUGUUCGGAAUUACUGGGCGUAAAGGGUGCGUAGGCGGUUCGCUAAGUCGGAUGUGAAAACUCUGGGCUCAACCCAGAGCCUGCAUCCGAAACUGGCGGGCUAGAGUUCUGGAGGGGGUAGCGGAAUUCCUGGUGUAGCGGUGAAAUGCGUAGAUAUCAGGAGGAACACCGGUGGCGAAGGCGGCUACCUGGACAGAAACUGACGCUGAGGCACGAAAGCUAGGGGAGCAAACAGGAUUAGAUACCCUCGUAGUCC
rnacentral:rRNA from 1 species